CCUACGGGUGGCAGCAGUGAGGAAUAUUGGUCAAUGGACGCAAGUCUGAACCAGCCAUGCCGCGUGCAGGAAGACGGCUCUAUGAGUUGUAAACUGCUUUUGUACGAGGGUAAACGCAUAUACGUGUAUCUGUCUGAAAGUAUCGUAAGAAUAAGGAUCGGCUAACUCCGUGCCAGCAGCCGCGGUAAUACGGAGGAUUCGAGCGUUAUCCGGAUUUAUUGGGUUUAAAGGGUGCGUAGGCGGUCGGAUAAGUUAGUUGUGAAAUCCCGAGGCUCAACCUUAGAAUUGCCUCUGAUACUGUUAGGCUAGAGAGUAGUUGCGGUAGGCGGAAUGUAUGGUGUAGCGGUGAAAUGCUUAGAUAUCAUACAGAACUCCGAUUGCGAAGGCAGUUUACCAAGCUACUUCUGACGUUGAGGCACGAAAGCGUGGGUAGCAAACAGGAUUAGAUACCCGUGUAGUC
rnacentral:rRNA from 1 species